AACUAAUUGUUUACAAAUUUAUUGAUCUUAGGAGUGACAAUCCAGUUCGCUGUUUGCGUACCAGCUCGUGUUGGGCUCGAAAUAAUUUCGAAAUCAAAUCGCUCGUUUAGUAAAUAAGCCGAAUAUGAGUUGAAUUUUUUAGCUCGUUUAAUAAACGAUCCGAAUACGAGCUAAGAUCAACUUGCUUGUGUUUGGCUUGAUAAAAACUCGAAUAUAUGUAUAUAUAGUUAGGUUGGUAUACUAUCGGUAGCACGGAGGCCUUCAUGCUACUAAGUUAUUUCCAAUAAUGCGACUUUCAAAUUAACGAUCAGCUACGUUAAGCUUGAUCUACACUAUUGAAAGUAUUUGAAAACUAAAUUUCAUAAUUUUUUAAUAUCAUUUACUUAUUAAACGAGUAGUCUAAAAAUGAACGGUUGAAAAUAAAAAUCUCAUAAAAAAUAAUAACAAAAGACUUGAAUUUAAAAUCAAAAGUACUAAUCUUACUCUAAAUAGUGAAAAAAAAUUUUCUAUAAAAAAUUCAUCAGAUUUGGAUUGUUUUAUAUUAUUAAAUUCACAAUCGCAUCACAUCAAUUGUUAAAAUUGUCAAUUUUGAAACCAUUUGAUCACUUGCCAAAUAAUGUCAAAAAAUUAUGAAUUUUAGUUUCCAGAUACUUUUAAUAGUGUAGAUCAAGCCUAGAGGAGUCGAUCAUCAAUUUGAACUUCGCAUCAUUAAAAAUAAUUUACUAGUACGGAGGCUUCCGUGCUAUCAAUAAUAUACUAGCCUAGCUAGCGCGCUCUCUCUCUCUCUCUCUCUCUCUCUCUCUCUCUCUCUCUCUCUCUCUCUCUCUCUCUCUAUAUAUAUAUAUAUGUAUUAUUUGAUUUUUAGUUCAACUUCAAUAUAAUGCCCAAUUCAAUAAUAAAAAGACCUAUUUAUAUGCUAGGUUUCAAUCAUUAGAUCAAAAGCUAAUAGAUAAGAUCUUAUAAUUUUUUUUCUAUAUAUAUAUUUUAAUUCUUUUAACUUAUUGUUCGUGAGCCAGCUCGUAUUCGACUUGUUAAUAAACGAGUCGAUCAUGAGCUGUAUUUUUUUUUUUAUCUCGAUACUUUAACGAGCCAGCUCGAGUUCGACUCAUUUCAUAAAUAAGUUGAACACGAGUCGACUUUAGCUCGUCCGUAUUCGGCUCGU
rnacentral:lncRNA from 1 species